CUCCCUUCUCCCUCCCUGUCCUUCUGGGACUCCAAAGACUGCUUCUUUUGAUGAUAUCCCAUAGAUCAUAUAGGCUUUCUUCAGCCUUCUUUAUUCUUUUUUCUUUGUUCUUCUCUGACUAGAACAUUUCUAGGCACUUCUUCACAAGUUCUUUCCUCUCCGUGGUCCACUCUGCUGUUGAUGAUAUCUAUUGUGUUUUGCAUUUCCUUCAUUUCACCUUCCACUCCAGAUCUUCUUUUUAAUGGUUCCUCUCUCUUUAUUAAGCUUAUUUGGUUUCUGUUUUGUUUUCCUGAUUUUAUUAAAAGGUCUUUAUUAAAAAGUUUCUCUUGUAUCUCACUGAGCUUCCUUAAAAAUGUCUAUUUGAAAUUCUUUUUCCGAUACAUCCUGGAUCUCCAUGCCUUCGGGGGUCAGUCCCUGGAAAACUAUUGUAAGCCUUUGGUGGUGUCAUGUUCCCUUGAUUUUUCAUGCUCCUUGAAGCCCUGUUUUGUUUCUUUGAAUUGAAAGCAGAAGCAGUAGUCACCUCUUCUGGUUUUCACUGACCAACUUUGGGAGGCAACUUCCUUCCAUCAGCUCUGCUAGUGAUUUUGAAGCUUUCUCAGAAGUUCUAUAGUUAGGACUGUUCCAUGCUUCCUGCUUCCUCUUGUGACAGAAUUUUUUUUUUUAAGAUUAUUUAUUUAUUUAUUUGACAGACAGAGAUCACAAGUAGGCAGAGAGGCAGGCAGAGAGAGAGAGAGAGAGAGAGAGAGAGAGAGAGGGAAGCAGGCUCCCUGUGGAGCAGAGAGCCUGAUGCGGGGCUCGAUCCCAGGACCCUGAGAUCAUGACCUGAGCUGAAGGCAGUGGCUUAACCCACUGAGCCACCCAGGUGCCCCUUGUGACAGAAUUCUUAAGCUUGCAUGCCUUCUCUCAGUCCUGCAGUACACCCGGCUAAGUGCCGACAGUCUGUCAUGCUUUCCCAAGGGUGGAGCUAAAGUCCAUGUUUGUGGUCUCACCCUGGAUCAUGGCUGCAGGUGGUUUCUGUGCCAGACCCCCAAGCUGUCUAUCACAGCUUGCCCUUUCCCUUGUUAGGAACACUCACAGGAGGCUAGCCAUAGGUUGGAGGGGGUGUUUAGGUGAGGGUCAUGGAGUAUGGGGGUGCCCAUGGGCCAUUUAAGGGGGAUCUGCUGCUUUGACAUCUCCAGUGGCUUGUAGGCAGGCUUCUUAAUGGAGUCUGCGGUGUCAUUAGUGGGAUCCAUGUCCCUUGAACCCCGUCAGAGUCUUAUCUGUGUUUGGCCAGCUCCCUUUUGCCCACUCAGUCAUGCAGCUCAAUGAAUCAGUGCUUCAGAGGAGGCAGGAGGCAAAUGGGUCUCUUUGGCAGCUUUGUCUUAGCUCAGGAGCUGGGGAAGCUCCCCCCAGUGCUCUUGCUUCCCACCACGGGAGAAAUCAGUUUGAGAGGGUCUCUCUUGGCUCUGGUUGGUGUGUCUUUGGGGACAGGGGGAUGCAGGUAAUGUCAAACUGUUCUUCUUACCCUCUCCAAUGCAUGCAAACUGGACUUGUUGUUGUUGUUUUUCCGAGAGUGUGCUGGAACUUCUCUGCCUAAAACCUGGGUUUCCACAGAUGUUCUCUUAUUUGUAAGAGAUUGCCUAGGGCAGUGCUUUCUGAGGGGCUCCCAGACCACAGCCAAGAGCGGUCCCUGCAGGUUCUACAGCCAAGACUGGUAUCUAUAUGCUUUUGACCCGAUGAAUGGGUGAGUGGCUCCUUCCUUGGUGCAUGGUGCUAGAUCCCACAGCCCCCAAAGUAACUUUUGUCCACGGAUAGGUGCAAAAUUGUUUAGGGGGAGAUAUGAGCAAGGGACUUCUUAUUUGGCCAUCUUACUGACUUCAGUCCUCUUUCUAUUAUCGUUUUGUGAUGCACAGAGAGUACCAUUUUAUUAGACACCCUUUUAUUCUGUUUUUUUUCUUUUAUUAUAUAUGCAUUUUUAGUUAUUUUCUUAGUGAUCACUCUGAAGAGUAACAUUAUCAUGUAUCACAACCUGGUUAAGAUUAAUGCCAUCUUAAUUUCAACAGUAUGAAAGCUUUGAUCCUUUAUAGCUCCACCCCUCCCCACUUUAAAGCUUUGAUGGAUGGAGAAAAGUGUCAUGAGCUAAAGAAUGCAGGUGGACUCUAAAAGUUAGAAAAAGUGAGAAAACAGAUUCUCCCCCAGAGCCUCCAGAAGGAGUGCAGCCCUGCUGAGUCAUUGCAAACUUCUGAACUCCAGAACUAUAAGGUACAGUGCUGAGUGUGAGGAAGACAGAGACAUCCUCAGCCCCUGGUCUCGUGCCACUCCCAGACCAGCCUCGCCCACUAAGAAUUUACCCUUCUGCUCCCAGAGAUGGCCAAGCUUGAAAGCAGGGCUUAGAUUUCUACGCUCACCUCCUGCUACAUCCAUUUGGCCUCCAAGCCCUGUCCAUUGCACUACUGAGGCAUCUUUAGCAAGCAUUUCCUCUUCCUUGUCCCAAAGGACCCGCCUUCGUUUAAAUCCUAUUAAAACAAUGAAUAUGAUUUCCUGCCAAACAGAAGCUCCACCAUCUGGUCCAUGCUUUGUACUGAUAGCAAAUCGAUCUACCCCAAGCCAUCAAUCUGGUCUACCAAGAGAGUUUCAGCAGCUCUCUGUUUUGACUUGACAGAGUUCAACUCGUUCCUAGAGCCAUUCCUGGAGCUAACUCCUUCCAUCUAGCCAUCAGGCUGAGUGCCUGGCCAUGGCUUACCUUCCAGACCACAUCUCAUGAGUUAUUUCUUUCAGUUACUCUAGGCUCUAGUUAACACCUAAUGGCUCAUUCUCGAAGAAUCCAGCCCAGGCUCUCAUUGUUUCCUCUGCUGGAAUGGUUGCUGGGCCUUCUCCAAGAAGUCUUUCCAGACUCCUUUUGACUUGUGAGCCUUUGUGAUCCCGUAUGUUACACUUUUCUUUCUAUGAUGUUGGGAGCACCUUGUAUUUUAAAGGUUCUUUAUCUGUUUAUCUACGGCACGAUGCUGUAAGCAAGGAUAGGCAGGAUCUAUCUGUUCUCUGACUUUAUCCCAGCAUAUAGGAGAGGGCCUGACAUUCAUUCAUUCAUUCAUUCACCAUUCAUUUAUUCAUUUACUUAACAAGUGGUAAUUAAAUGCUUUGUCCAUGCUAGACAGGAGCUCUGUACGAGGCCCAGGUUUGCUGAACGCAUGAAUGGAGAGCUUGGGUGUGACGAGACCUCAGCUAUUAAGGGAGUUAAAACCUGAAAGAAAUCUGACUCUGAUGUUUUGAGUGUAUUUUGACUGGGUCUGAGCUGUCCUGGGCAUUGGCCCAAUGGACACCUCCCACUGACUCAGUGUGAUACCUUGGCUAAGGGGUUAGCUAUGUGGGUCCUCAGCCGUAGAAGGGAAAUGGUAAAAUUCUGACCCCCUGUGUAAUGCCGAGGUUCCUUUGCUCCAUUGCUUCUCUUCGAGGGCAGCUGCGGAGGAAGGAAGUCUCUCAGUUCUGGAAAUUCCCCCAUCGGAUGGGCCGUUUGGCUUCAUGCCCACAGGUCAGAAUUAGCAUCAUUGCACCUCCUACCCAUAGCAACCCUGCGGGAUGGGCAGGUCUGGGGACAAUCAUGCCAUCACAGGGAGAGGUCAAAUGACCUACCUGCCUAAGGUCAAAUGUGAGAAGGUACCCGAGCAAGGUUGGAAGGAAGCAGGUCUCCCGUCUCUGUGUUCCGAGCCGGCUUGAACUCCCCCCACCCCCCUCACUGCUCUGGCAGGCACUCUGGUGAGAAAGUGGGUCUGGACACCCAGAUUAGAAACCCAGUGUGGUCUAGGCUAGGCUCUGCUCUCCCAUCUUGGCCCACACCGCAUCCCCCCCAUUCCUGUCUCUCGGAUGGGUUUUGCAAUGCCAUCCUUCUUCUCUUCCUUGCUCUGGGCCAAACAUCAAGAUCCUGCUUCCCUUUCUAGACAUCCGCGUCUGCUGCUCAGUUUUCCUUCCAGUGGUUUUUGCUAGUUCUCCAUUUCUCUCUUCUCUCUCAUUUCAUUUUUGUGUCCUUGGGACGCAUCAUCCUAAUGAGACAUCCCGUUUUGAAGGAUGACGUAAGUUUUUCCGGGAGUGCUUGAGUCUGUAAGCCUUCUAAGAAAAAGAAAGUCAUAAAACCCCUUCUCUCUUCCGUUAUUUGCAUCUGGUAAAACAAAGGAACCGCACCUGCCCAAGCCCCUGCUGGCUUCUCAACCAGGCCCACAGGGAAACCAAGAGGCAGCUCUGACUCUAGAGCUUUCCUGCAAGCCAACCAGAGCUCAGAGCGGCUAACUCCCUGUGAAUGUAGGAGACCACCCUAUCUCUGGUGGGUGCAGCCCCAGGUGAAGGGGCCGUUCGAUGGGUGCACUGCAGCUCUGGGUUGAAAACAGAAAGGCGCCAAGGGGACGUUCAGCACCCACUCCCCAUCUUGGAGACUGAGGCUCCUACAGCCAGAGGAAGCAGCGACUUACUCAAAGUCACAAAUCAGUGACGGCUAAUUGGGGCUGCCACCUCAGUCUCUGAUUCCUCUCCUGGGAGGGGGUCUUUCCUCUCCCACAGGGUUCUUAAAGCAUCAGGGGGCUCUGGUAAGUGAACUGUGGAAUGGAUUCUGGAUCAAUCCCUCGCAGUCACUUACUUCAUGCCUUUGAGCUUGAUGACAUUGCCUGGAGGGGGUCAUAUCGUUGGGUCACAUGCUGGCCACAGAGUCUUUACUCGUGUGAUUUCGGCCCUCUGAGGUGCUGGUGAGGGAAACCGAGGCAAGGACCUCUUAACUGUUGGUCAUCCACAUGUCUGUCCCCCAAACGCACAGUCACCUGCUUGUGUCACAGAGUGGGAGAUGCUCUGAAGCCAGCAGGGGAUCCAUCCCCAAGGAAGAGCCGUUCUCAGGGUUGCCACUCCCAUGACUGUGGUGGAGGGACGCCGCACCUCACAGCUGGUCAAGACUGGUCAAGUCUGUUUGCCUAUCAUCUCUCAUUUCCCACCUCCACAACAACCCAGGGGGAUAGACACUCCGUGUUCCCCUUUGCCAAGUGAGAACUCAAGGUUCAGAGGAGUUAAGCACCUCAGACGGGGCCCUGUAGCUAGAACCUGCCAGAACCAAAGCUCUGAAUCUGGGGCUUUUGGGCUGUCCUGCUCUCCCACACAAAUUCAUAGUCCUAAAGCUCAUCCGUCCUGAGCAUCUCCCACAACCAGGUUUCCUCAGGCCCUUCCAGCAAGCUGGUGAAGUCCCCCCUCCCCGAGGGUCAGUGGUGAAGUAGCUAAAGUGGGCUGCACAUUCGGGGCACGUUCUGUGGCCCGGGCUUGCCCAAGCCUGCAGCCUGGAGGAGAAAUCGGGAGCCCUCCAGGCCGACGGGCCAGGCUGGGACUUCCUGCCCAGAGGUCUCUUUCUCUCUGCUGAGUCCCGCUGGGCCUCUGAGAGAAACAGAGAGGCCUUCUGUCGGAGCAGCCUGGGGUUUCCUGUCCCCCUCACCUCUUCAGGACUCUUCAGGACCUCCGCUCUCUGGAGAGGGAAGCUAAGCCAGGAGUGGAUAGCCAGUGAGGAUUGGACAGCAGGGCUCUUAAAGGAAGACUGCUUUCAUUCAUUCACUCAUGCACUCACUCAUUCAUUCAUCCCUGCAUCCUUUAACAAAGCUCUAUAGUGAUCUAUUCUGCGAGAGACACUGCUCGCUGUUUGGGGGUCUGGGGUUGGUAGAACAUGGCACAGGACUUCAAGGAGUUGAGUGUUGGUCCAGCAGGUUGAAUAGAAAACUGUCAGUUGUCCUGAGCUCUUCUAGCUAUAAAAUCAUCCCCUUCCAGCCCCUUCUUUGCCAUCCUCUUCUUUGGGUUCUUAAAACAUUUUUCCUGGGUACGAAAAGGCUCCCGGCUGGGCUUUCAGCCAUCCUCCACCCCAAUGCCGAAGGACUGAGAUGCCAAUCCAUUGGGUCUCUUCCAUGCUGAGAAUCUCUCAGUGGUCCUUCUGAGUCCUCAGGGUAAAGUCCAAGCCCAUCAGCAUGUCUAUCCGGAACUUGGUUGUGGCUCAGUUCCUUCCUCUCUCUCUAGCUUCCCUUCAAACUUCAGGCACUCAGGCUCCAGAAAAGCCAAAGUGGUUUUCAGGGACUCCCCCCACUCCCUCCUCUACCAAGAUCACACUUCUGGGUCUUUGCACAUAAGCCAUUUGCUCUUUCUGGAGACUCUUACCCUUCUUCACCAGCCAACUUCUACUCAUUCUGCAAAACCCAGUUCAGAGGCCCUUUCCUCCUGGAAGCCAAGGCUAGAAAAGAUGCCAGUAUUCUACAUUUCUACAGCAUUUAGAAAUGUAUUUCAGUGUUUAUCUAUUCUCUUGGUCUUGCUAGUCUCCCCCUCCCCAUUUAUCUGGAGACCGUGGUUCCCCAAGACAUAGAUAAUGCCUGGACAAAGACAGUGCUUAAUAAUGUUCUACUGAACGAACACAAGGGAAAUUCCAAAGACAGAAACUUAUUUAUCCUCCCUGCUCUAAAACCACUUGCAAAAUGCAGCCAACUUGGUCCACCCUCCAGGGUGUCUGGAGCUCAGAAGGAAGGAAUGUGUCUGUGAUUUUCUGGAGAACAAAAGGGUUACUUUCAAGCCCACAGAUGUGGCAAAAAGAAGGAGCAGCUGUUAAUCAUUGUAACUGGGAAAGUCCGCACACUUUCCUGUGGUUUUUCGCUACAACAUAGGUCCUUGGACAGAUUUCAAGAGGAAAAUAACAAGCUAUUUGACCUUUUCCUCUUGCUAGCCAGCAUUUUUUGCUCUCUGCUCCACGGCCACAGUUUCAAUCUAGGAUGAUUCCGUUCUUCCCACUCUAGGGCUGGAGCUUGCAGAACUAGCCCUGUGCACAGGUGUCUUGCUGGCCCCAGGAGCUGAGAUCCGUGGACUUGCCACCUGUUACAUGUCUUGGAAUCUAGAGAGAGCCAGUGAGUUCUUCAACUUCCUUCUUGCUGCCCUGCCAUGGAUUCAUUCUCAUUGCAGAAAAGUGCUGUAGAGAGAAUGACAGUUAUCAGCAGGCCUACCACUUCCAAGGAAGUUAGAAGAGGUGGGAUAUUUCCGCUGGAUGCUUUACAUCUUAAUUCAUGAAAAUAAUCAGAAUGUCCCACCAGAAUAGAUACUGGGUCUAUAUGGACCCAUUAAACAGGGGUACUUCCUGCCUUGGUGAAGUUCACCUCUGUUAGUUCUCUCUGCAGAUGAAAAAAUUGGGCUGGCGGGGUAAAGCGACUUGGUCAAGGUCACACAAUCAGCUGAAAUCAGAACUGAAAUUAGAAUCUAGGGCUUCUGACUCUUGUGUGGUCUGCCUUGGGCACCGUCUUGAUAAGUGACAGCCUGUGCUCUCACUAUCUAGCUGUCUGACACUGUGCAGACAUGUCUGGGCACAUCACCCUGACUCAGAAACAUGUCUCAUGUGCGCCAGAAGCAACUUUGCUACCGGAACCCAGGAGUCCCGUGUGUACCUUGGCCCACCUCCAGCUGUGAACCCAGACCCCAGCCAACCUGUAAUUCUGGGGAUUUGGCCUGGCCACCCCCUCUUCCUUCCCCCAGCUUCACCUCCCAGAGUCCAUACCUGAUGCUGGAUGAGACCCCGUGUUCAGAAAAAUUUCAUCUUGGUCUUUGGGUUUUGGAUUUUUUAUUUUAUUUUUUUUUAACAUCCUUACCUGAAUAGACAGAAGGAAAAAGAGGGCAUUCAUCCUAGGGGUACAAUCUACCUUUGCCGCUGAUGUUUGUGUGCACAUAACCAAACGCUGGGAUCCAAGCUCCUCACCCAUCAGUGGAUCCCAAGGGCCCAGAAUUCUCCUUGUUAGGGUGUGUCAUUCAGCUAAAGCUCAUCCUGAGUUUUGGCAUUCUACCUUUGCGAUGUUUUCACAUAUCUUUGUAAAACCGUUCUCUGACAGACCUAGUGAUUUUCUUUAAAAUGACUCACAUUUUUUUUUUUUUACUUAAAUACAUGCGUUUUGAAAGGAAACAUUUUAUGACUGCUAUAAAUGUGAAACCAAUAUUGUUUGCUAUUCUUGCCAUCAAAAUAAACAUUGUUUUUCGAUUGGAGCUGGAUGCACUUGCCUGCCUGAUGUCGGAGCUCUGAGCUUACUCUCUUGUUGAAGAGAGGGAGAGGGAGACAGAGAGAAGGGGGAGGAGGUUGUGAACCCAGGAAGAAAUGGAGGCCCAGAGAGUCCGCACCGCCGAAGAUCACACAGCUGGGGAGAGACCUUGAGCCUCCAGGUUGGGAACGUAGACCCGACCUGAUGUGCACGGGGCCUGGCCUCCCUCUGAAGAACAGCUGGACUGUGGACAAGAGAACUGAGCCAAGGACGUUUGUGGGAAAUGACCCUAGAAGACGAAGUCCUAUGGCGCUGGUCCCAUGACCUUCCCCGGGGGAUCCCCUUCCCAUAUUGUCAUCUCCCCAGUGGCAGUGAUGCACAUGCAGUGGGAGUCGGUGUCCAGGGGCUCCCAUGAUAGAAACAGCAUGUUGCCCUUUAUUAAGAUAGGGUCAUCAAAAUUACCUGCAAGAAAUCCUUUCUGCAGCUGCCGAGAGUGAAAUGUUGGUGGUUAAGGGUUUGAGUCUGCCCAGCCGCCUUUGUCCAGACUGUCAAUGACCGGAACCAGCCCUGGGACCCAGGCAAGGCCACUCUCGAAGUUUCCUCGAGUACCUGGUGCAGACCAGGGCUUCUCAACACUGAGCUGGGCUGAACCACGGAUUGGAGCCCAGGCUUCAAGAGGAGGGAACUGACCAGGCUGAACCUGAUGGUCAGUGAGCCACAGUGACUUGCCUGAGGUGAUCAGGUUCACACCUGACCUAUUUGCGGUGUGCCCCAAGACUGCUUGACUGCAAAGUCCAGAGUUGUGUUCCCUCCUCCACUCUUCCUCCCAAGACCAUCUGCACACUGAUCCCUUCACCAGAGCAUUCUACAGCGGCGACUCUCCAUUCCAUUUUAGUGAAGGCUACCUCAGAGCCAUCGAAGCAUCGAGAGUAAGUCUUUCAGGCAACUCAGAAGAAGGAGACCUGAGCAGCUUAAGGAAGGGGACUAUACGAUUGGAAAAGAAGUGUAGAAUGAAUGCCCUGUCUCAUGUUUGGGUGGCUACCACCCAGCCUCAGAAAAACAGCUUCAAUUCAAAGCCUAUGUCCUACUUUUUACUUUUCCCUACUUCCUGAUUUGGAAAUACAAGUAGUAAGCUGUAUAUAGCAGCCUUUCAUACAACACAUGCAUCUAUUACUUUUUCCAUGUCUCCAAGUCACUGGGUGUGGCUUGGUCUACUUAGUUCCAGAAACCACUUACAAGAGCCAGGUCAUAGGAGUAAAUUUAACCUCAAACCAGAUCAUUGGGUCUGUAGGACGUGACCUCUUUUUACACUGAUGAUUCAUGUAUUGAGUCAAAGUUGGGUUUGGGGCCUUCUAGAGCCAAGGAGUCUAGUUAUUGGGUCUUUUCCUCUCUUGGAGAUGGUUCUUUUCUGAUCGGGCUGUGUUUUAUAAACUGCAUGUAGAAAAUGGAACAUUUGACCGACCUUCCUUCUUUCCUUCUUCCUUCUUACAUUUAUUGGAAUGCAUAUUAUGCUCCUGCCCUUAUUGUGAGGAAUGAGGAAAACUCCCUGCCCUCAGGGAGGGUGUUCAGGGUCUACAGACCCCCAAAUGACUUGGCAAAUCCCAACAUUACACCUACUGCAAUGAAAGUUUGCAUAGAACCCCGCAUCCAAAUCUGCCAAAGGAGGAAAACUUCAGUUACAAAUGUUCAGAGCCUGGAUACGGCCUUUGCGAUGGAAGAGGGGUUUCCUCUAGGAUCUAGUUCUUUUCUGUAGAGCCAAGAUGGUCUCAGGGGACCACCGCAGCCCAGCCAGAAACAGGUAGGCAGUCGGGACAGGUGAAGCAGGAAAGGGGGUGAUCUUUUGUCUUGAGCUGAAGCCCACUGAUGAAGAGAACAUGGUAACAGGUCUCCCGGGACUCACCUGGCUCCUCCCUCAGAGAUGUUGGGAACUCGGGGCCCGGGGCUGUUGGAGAUGUCACCUUUAAGACAGUGGUGGCUGUGGCUGCCUUCUUGGGCCUUGUGAUGGUACUUCUAGUAUGUCUAGGCCCCAUCAGAUCAGUUACCCGCACAAGGAAAGAACCAUGAUAUUAAAUCACGAAGGAUUUUCCAAUAAAGUGGUUGAAGGUGGGGGGGAAGGGAAGCCAACUGGGCUUCAGAAGGGACAGAGGCCAAUUUCCUUUAGUCUGGAGCUCCAAGUAUACAGCAGAAUUUCCUGAUUUCUUGUCUCAGAUUUUAAGGCCACCUUGGGGCUAUCUGGCCUAUGGUGUGUACCAGAUGUUUGAUGUUGUGAUCUCAGAGCUGGACAGGGGCCAUCCCUUCUCCAGCCCCUGUUGUCUCCCUCCCAGAGUCUGAUAGAGUCUCACACAGUUCUGGAGAAAGGGCAGUUCACCAGUAACUAGGAGAACCAUGAAUGGUUAACAGAAUGGGAGCCCAUUCUGCACCAUGAAGGGUAUGGGGGAGAUUAAUUUCUUCUCAACAAUAACUGUUCUCCCCACCAGUUCCCAGUUCAGCCAGUAGCUACCCCAGGCACGAAUAGAAGGAAGGGGACCCUCUCCUUUGUUGGGUGUCUGAUGUGAAUAUUCUGUACCUGUGUGUGCACGUGUGCGUUGGAGUGGAAAGAGCUACCAUGCUGUUGUAGCAGUAGAUUCCCGAAGAAAGCAGAGAAACAAGAGUCAUUGGAGACCAGGUCUUUGGGUGGGCAGGUAUGCGCUUUCGAGUAUGGCCAACUGUUGAGAGAAAUUUCUGGACCCAUACAAACGUUCCCAUGCCCUAAAAUGGGUAUGUUAUUAUUUGCUUUCACUUACCCACAACCUCCACACAGCCCCAGGCCUUGGUCUCUGACUCGAAAUGACAGACACCAUGACAGAUACGAAAAUGAAGAUGAGUCAUCCUCAAAUUUUGCUUUUUUGAUCGAUAAAAUACCUGCUGUGCAUGCAGGCUCCCAUCUGUGACUGCUGUUUGCAACCAACCCAUCAGGUUGCUCUCAGGACAAGCUCACGUUCCAGAAAUUAAUCUAUCUAUCUUGCAAGAAAAAACAUGUUACCGCGAGAGCCUCUCAGGAGUGUGCUUUGACGUCAGUGUUCCAUGAGAGAGGAAGGGAUGAGAAAGGGGGUUGACAGAGGACAAGGUGUGAUGGAAACCGUAACUGGUAUCGUUUUUGACACAACUCUCUGGGCCACCCUGGUGCACUGCCAUCCUCCCUCAAGACUGACCCCUUUCAUGAAACUCUGGUUUUCCAGAAUGACCCGAAGGCUUUCUGAAAAUGCAGAUUUCUGGGCUCUUCCUGCCAAGAUCCAGUAGAUAUAUGCAGCAGGGAAAACAAAUUUUACACCAGCCAUCCCACUGUGUCAAUGCCUGAACGAGAUAAUGAUUCAUUUCUCAAGCCACAAUCCAGUAUAAGUUAGUGGGGUGGAGUUCUCUGGAGUUGAUCUGGACAUAUUCUUCUCCUGGUUAUUCUGGGACCCCAGACUCCUCCAUCUUGGCUUCUACCCUUCCUUGUAGCUUCAGAGUCCUCAGAUAAGAGCAUGAAAUGAAGGGGUGCAGAGAGGACACACCUGCUCUUAAUUUCUGCAGCAAAGAGGUGACCGUGUUACUUCCAUUCACCUCCCAUUCGUGAGACCUGGUUCCACACCUCCAUGCUGCGCCCCGGGGAAAUAGUGUCUAAUGCCCAGAAGGGAAAGGGAUCUUGGUGAAAAGUUAGCCAGACCCAGCCACUAUCUGGGAUGGGGACAUACAUGUUAUUUGCUACAAGCAUCCUUGGCAACUCUAACAAAGAUGGCAUGAUGCCCAUAUUCUUGAGAAAUACUUAGCCACAGACACCUGCGUGGGUAAUAGCAGGUGGGUGCUAAUCCACUUACAGAUCGUGGAGCCUGGCUCGUGGGGACAGACAUGUAAAUAUACAAAGUAAACCUCCAGAGCGAUCUAGUGUUUUCAGGGUGGUGGUUCUUAUCCGCACGGAAGGUUCUUGUCUGCACGGAAGGUCUCCAGCUGCUGCUCCAGCCCACAAUUCCCCGUCCCCGGGACUGGAAGACUCCUCACAUCCCUUGGGAACUUGCGUUCUUCUAUAAAGUGGGAAUGUGAACACACGACAUCAGAUUAAGUCAGUCGAAGGUCUAUUAGUAACCAGCCAUGCAGUAGGUAUACAAUAAAUGUUACAAGUAUUUAGCAGAGCGUGGUCAAAGGGUUACAAACUUCCAGUGAGUACAUGAAUAUGUUAUGGGGUUGUCACUGACCCCGUGGACACUAUGCUUACCAAUAUUGUAUGUUUCAAAGUUGCUAAGAAAGUAGAUAUUACAAGUUUGUCAUACAGAGGUGAGGGCGGGGAGAAAUUGUAACUACGUGAAACAGGUUGAGUAGACUCAUGACAAUCAUUUUGUGAUACAUGCACACAUCAGAUCAUUAUGCUUACGAAUUUAACUAAUACAAGAUUACAUAUCAGUUGUAUCUCAGGAAAACUGGGGGAAAAUUAUCGUCAAAAUGAGAACAUAAAAAAACUUGUAUUGACCACUGUGAGCUUGAUAGUUUCCCAAUACUUAAAGGUUUCAUGGGUGCAUGGUGGCUCUGUCAUUAGACAUCUGCUUUCCGCUCAAGUCAUGAUCCCAGGGUGCCGGGAUCCAGUCCCGCAUCGGGCUCUCCACUCAGCGGGGAGUCUGCUUCUUCCUCUCCUUCUGCUUCUCUCUCUGUCUCUCAUGAGUAAAUAAAUAAAAGAUUUGAAAAAAAAAUAAAUUAAAAAUACUUUGCUGGUGAGAUUAGUGAAUCUAAUAUUUGACACUAUGUAAUAAAAUCUGUCAACAUUUGAAUGUCUGCCUACCUGCAUAAAGCAAUACUUUCCAAAUGACCAAUGUUUAAAUUUUUUUUGACUUGGUGAAUGCUUUGAUCACAAUUCAGAAUAUUUACGUAAGAUGGUUUCAUCUGCUUUAAACUAAUGAGAAAAUUUUACUUGGUUUACUAGAAAGUGCAGAAUGAAAAAUGAACAAAGUUUUAGGCCCAAUAAACAAAUAUGGGAAGGAUUGAUUUGGCCCAUAAGAGCCAGAUCUGAUCCUCCUGACUGCUUUGUUAUGUUGUUAAAUUGGUUCAAUGCAGCAUGUGAGCAAUUUUUGGAAGCCUCAUCUUACGAUGAUUGCAUGCUACUUUUUCAAAAUACAAAAAGAAAGAAAAAGUCUCAUGGAUAUAAUUCUGGCCAUCUGUUCACAAAGGAAACAGGAUUAUUUUAAGUGAAUUUUUAAUUUUAGCAUAAUAUUUAUUUUUUUAAAGAUUUUAUUUAUUUAU